rnacentral:rRNA from 1 species
UACGUAGGGUGCAAGCGUUUGUCCGGAAUUAUUGGGCGUAAAGAGCUCGUAGGCGGUUUGUCGCGUCUGCUGUGAAAACCCGAGGCUCAACCUCGGGCCUGCAGUGGGUACGGGCAGACUAGAGUGCGGUAGGGGAGAUUGGAAUUCCUGGUGUAGCGGUGGAAUGCGCAGAUAUCAGGAGGAACACCAAUAGCGAAGGCAGCUCGCUGGGACGUUACUGACACUGAGGCGCGAAAGCGUGGGGAGCGAACAGG